UACUGAUGAAGUGUAAUUAGUGCUGACUCACAGUAGUACAUACAGCCUGUGAAUUUCAGGCAGGAUAUAAGGUGAGAAUGAAGCCUUUGCAAGUAUGGGAAUUUGGGAAGUGUGAGAGAAGACAUUGUGUGAAGCCCAGGAAUGGAGACCAGUCUGCAGCUGCAGCACAGCCCUCACUGACCCAGCCAUCCCCUAACCCGUGUCUGGUGCUUGGCAGCCAGCGUGGGAAGUAAGGAACUCAUGGCAAGCAUUAAGGACCGGAUGGUGGAAAGCAUCCAGGGACUCCAGUCCACGUUCUUUUAUUUGUCCCUUUUGUACUGCUUGCCAGUUUGGGAGGCCGUCACACACGUCCCCAAUUUAUUGAAGGAUGGAGACACUUAAUUUGAGCCAUUAUGUGAAGAGAAAUCCACGCUGUCUGGGGAAACAAUAUUUCUGUAGGCUUAUGGUGUUGAAAAGGAGUGCCUGUUGGAGAACAGCUUAGCAGAGAUGCUUGAACAUAAUGGCCAGAGUCACUCCUGCAGGACUGGCAGUAGUUCAGGAGGAAUCACCCUACAGCAGCAAUAUCAGACCAAGCCUAUUGCAUAGUCACAAAACCAGCAAGUUCACAGUAAUAUCAAAGAUUAGUUGCAUAAACUGAAAAGAAUGCAUUGCAAACACUUUUGUAGAGCUGUCUCUAUAAAAGAGUACAAACAAACACACACAAUGCUGCAGAUGCUCCUAUGCUGCUAUGCACAAACUUGUGACUCAGAGCAGGAAAGGCAAGAAGCUGCUCUGACAAAAAUUAAAACCUUGGAUGAAAAUAUGGCCACUACUGUCUCAAGAUUAUUUUAAACCUGUGGCAAACAUCUCUGUGGCACCAAAAUCACAGUUUCCAUGCUUGUGAAUUACACUGAUCUAUUUAUCAGAAGAGCAGUAUAAAAACAAAGGGAAAAUAUUAGGAAUUAAUUCUGGUUUUCAGUCUUGCAUGAAAGGUGGUAGCCCUUCUGUCUGAACAGAUCUUUAAGCGUGUGAUGGAAGAGUAUUUUUGUAAGUAUAGCUUUAAUAACUGUGCCUUGAGGGUUUAAAAGAAUACUCUGUAAACAAGAAGUAGAGAAACAGUAGAAUGGUGUCUGAAAAACAUCCCUCAGCCACUCCAGAAAGUGACUGCUGAAGCAGUUAAUAAUGUUCCAUUCAGGAUGGAGGAAAUGCACUUCCCAUUCUCUUCAUAGUUUUUAAGUUUCUUAGCUUUGUGCACCUGGACCAUCUAGUGAAAAUCUUUUAUUGGAUUUUCUUUGACCAAACCACUUUGCUAAGAGCUGCAGUUAUCAUUCAAGCUAUAAUCCAGUCCUAGACAAAAACACUUACUGCUUGUCUCCUGAAACAACAUUUCUGCAGGUUUCUGUGCCAGAUAAUGCAGGGCGAUGAGUAUCUAGCAGGCGUUGUAUCCACACCCUCCCUGUCCUCCAGCCGUUCCAAGAAGCUCUUGGGGGGACAUUGCCUCCUUCUGCUUGGGCUGCCAACGUGCCACAGUGGCUCUGAAUCUAGCUCUGCUGCCUGCCCUGGGUGUCUGCUUGGAGCCAGUAGGAGCACAAUAGUAUUUCCACCUGCGGAAUGUACCUGUGUAGUGGGAUUUUACACUGCCCUGGUGUCCUUCCUAAAGAAGAUGACAAUGGACCUCUGAAAGUCCAGCGAUUUGGACAUCAAGGUCCUUCCAGAAGACAACACCAGGUCCUGUUUUUCCACACUUCUGACAUCAUGGAGAUGACACACUUUACAUGGGUGAAGUGAGAAGCAUUUCUUAGGAGUGUCUUCUGAUUUCUUUUCCUCUUACAGACUGCUUGUAUUUUGCCAGAUGUAAUAAAUAAAUACAUCAGGCUUCUCUGAGUUGCUUUGGCACAUGCCCUCACAAGAAGACUGGGGCUCACAGGGAAGACACGGUACCUCCCAUUCCCCACCUGCACCACACCAGGAGGUGCCUGUGGUCAACUGGCGUCCCCACUGACACCACCUCUUUGAAAGCCCACAUUUUGAAGAGGAAAGAUGAUGUGGUGCUUUUCUGUCUCUGCAACAGGGCACUCGUGACCUUCAUCAACUACCUUUUCCAAAGUGCUUUUAUUUACAUAUUAUAGCAUCAAUAGAAAAAUACAAUUAAAAUAUUACCAAGUUAAUCCCUUUCUAGUUAGCUUGUGAGCCUUAUGGGACAGAGAAAGAUGUUCUGUUCUUCUCCAAAACCAUGAACUGGUAAAGUCAGUUAACAGUAUAUCCCAAUCUCUCUUUUAACUUAUAUUGUAUUAUUUCCACUUUGUAAUUAUUCAAGCACUUCCUUCUGAUAAACAUAUUUCACUACAUAAA